AUUGAACGCUGGCGGCAGGCCUAACACAUGCAAGUCGAACGAGUGGCGGACGGGUGAGUAAUGUAUGGGAAACUGCCUGAUGGAGGGGGAUAACUACUGGAAAAGGUAGCUAAUACCGCAUACAAUCGGAUGGGCCCAGAUGGGAUUAGCUAGUAGGUGGGGUAAAGGAUCACCUAGGCGACGCUCCCUAGCUGGUCUGAGAGGAUGACCAGCCACACUGGAACUGAUACACGGGCCAGACUCCUACGGGAGGCAGCAGGGGGGAAUAUUGCACAAUGGGCGCAAGCCUGAUGCAGCCAUGCCGCGUGUAUGAAGAAGGCCUUCGGGUUGUAAAGUACUUUCAGCGGGGAGGCGUUACCCGCAGAAGAAGCACCGGCUAACUCCGUGCCAGCCGCCGCGGUAAUUC
rnacentral:rRNA from 1 species